rnacentral:rRNA from 1 species
GAUGAACGCUGGCGGCGUGCCUAAUACAUGCAAGUCGAGCGAACAGACGAGGAGCUUGCUCCUCUGACGUUAGCGGCGGACGGGAGAGUCACACGUGGAUAACCUACCUAUCAGACUGGGAUAACUUCGGGAAACCGGAGCUUAUACCGGAUGAUAUAUUGAACCGCAUGGUUCAAUAGUGAGAGACGGUUUUUCUGUCACUAAUAGAUGGAUCCGCGCCGGAUUAGCUAGUUGGUAAGGGAACGGCUUACCAAGGCUACGAUGCGUAGCCGACCUGAGAGGGUGAUCGGCCACACGGGAAGUGAGAAAGGGCCCAGACUCCGACGGGAGGCAGCAGCAGGGAAUCUUCCGCAAUGGGGGAGAGCCUGACGGAGCAACGCGGCGUGAGUGAUGAAGGUGUUCGGAUCGGAAAACUCUGUUAUUAGGGAAGAACAAAUGUGGAAGUAACUAUGCACGUAUUGACGGUACCUGGUCAGAAAGCCACGGCUAACUACGUG